UGACGAACGCUGGCGGCGUGCUUAACACAUGCAAGUCGAACGGAAAGGCCCUGCUUUUGUGGGGUGCUCGAGUGGCGAACGGGUGAGUAACACGUGAGUAACCUGCCCUUGACUUUGGGAUAACUUCAGGAAACUGGGGCUAAUACCGGAUAGGAGCUCCUGCUGCAUGGUGGGGGUUGGAAAGUUUCGGCGGUUGGGGAUGGACUCGCGGCUUAUCAGCUUGUUGGUGGGGUAGUGGCUUACCAAGGCUUUGACGGGUAGCCGGCCUGAGAGGGUGACCGGCCACAUUGGGACUGAGAUACGGCCCAGACUCCUACGGGAGGCAGCAGUGGGGAAUAUUGCACAAUGGGCGGAAGCCUGAUGCAGCAACGCCGCGUGCGGGAUGACGGCCUUCGGGUUGUAAACCGCUUUCGCCUGUGACGAAGCGUGAGUGACGGUAAUGGGUAAAGAAGCACCGGCUAACUACGUGCCAGCAGCCGCGGUGAUACGUAGGGUGCGAGCGUUGUCCGGAUUUAUUGGGCGUAAAGGGCUCGUAGGUGGUUGAUCGCGUCGGAAGUGUAAUCUUGGGGCUUAACCCUGAGCGUGCUUUCGAUACGGGUUGACUUGAGGAAGGUAGGGGAGAAUGGAAUUCCUGGUGGAGCGGUGGAAUGCGCAGAUAUCAGGAGGAACACCAGUGGCGAAGGCGGUUCUCUGGGCCUUUCCUGACGCUGAGGAGCGAAAGCGUGGGGAGCGAACAGGCUUAGAUACCCUGGUAGUCCACGCUGUAAACGGUGGGUACUAGGUGUGGGGUCCAUUCCACGGGUUCCGUGCCGUAGCUAACGCUUUAAGUACCCCGCCUGGGGAGUACGGCCGCAAGGCUAAAACUCAAAGGAAUUGACGGGGCCCCGCACAAGCGGCGGAGCAUGCGGAUUAAUUCGAUGCAACGCGUAGAACCUUACCUGGGUUUGACAUGGAUCGGGAGUGCUCAGAGAUGGGUGUGCCUCUUUUGGGGUCGGUUCACAGGUGGUGCAUGGCUGUCGUCAGCUCGUGUCGUGAGAUGUUGGGUUAAGUCCCGCAAUGAGCGCAACCCUUGUUCACUGUUGCCAGCACGUUAUGGUGGGGACUCAGUGGAGACCGCCGGGGUCAACUCGGAGGAAGGUGGGGAUGACGUCAAGUCAUCAUGCCCCUUAUGUCCAGGGCUUCACGCAUGCUACAAUGGCUGGUACAGAGAGUGGCGAGCCUGUGAGGGUGAGCGAAUCUCGGAAAGCCGGUCUCAGUUCGGAUUGGGGUCUGCAACUCGACCUCAUGAAGUCGGAGUCGCUAGUAAUCGCAGAUCAGCAACGCUGCGGUGAAUACGUUCCCGGGGCUUGUACACACCGCCCGUCAAGUCAUGAAAGUUGGUAACACCCGAAGCCGGUGGCCUAACCGUUGUGGGGGAGCCGUCGAAGG
rnacentral:rRNA from 1 species